rnacentral:rRNA from 1 species
UUAUCGUUUAUUUGAUAGUACCUUACUACUUGGAUAACCGUGGUAAUUCUAGAGCUAAUACAUGCUGAAAACCCCAACUUCGGGAGGGGUGUAUUUAUUAGAUAAAAAACCAACGCCCUUCGGGGCUUCUUGGUGAUUCAUGAUAACUUCACGGAUCGCAUGGCCUUGCGCCGGCGACGGUUCAUUCAAAUUUCUGCCCUAUCAACUUUCGAUGGUAAGGUAUUGGCUUACCAUGGUUUCAACGGGUAACGGGGAAUUAGGGUUCGAUUCCGGAGAGGGAGCCUGAGAAACGGCUACCACAUCCAAGGAAGGCAGCAGGCGCGCAAAUUACCCAAUCCCGACACGGGGAGGUAGUGACAAUAAAUACUGAUACAGGGCUCUUUUGGGUCUUGUAAUUGGAAUGAGUACAAUUUAAACCUCUUAACGAGGAACAAUUGGAGGGCAAGUCUGGUGCCAGCAGCCGCGGUAAUUCCAGCUCCAAUAGCGUAUAUUAAAGUUGUUGCAGUUAAAAAGCUCGUAGUUGAAACUUGGGCCUGGCUGGCAGGUCCGCCUCACCGCGUGUACUUGUCCGGCCGGGCCUUUCCUUCUGGAGAACCUCAUGCCCUUCACUGGGUGUGCUGGGGAACCAGGACUUUUACUUUGAAAAAAUUAGAGUGUUCAAAGCAGGCCUUUGCUCGAAUACGUUAGCAUGGAAUAAUAGAAUAGGACGUGCGGUCCUAUUUUGUUGGUUUCUAGGACCGCCGUAAUGAUUAAUAGGGACAGUCGGGGGCAUCAGUAUUCAAUUGUCAGAGGUGAAAUUCUUGGAUUUAUUGAAGACUAACUACUGCGAAAGCAUUUGCCAAGGAUGUUUUCAUUAAUCAGUGAACGAAAGUUAGGGGAUCGAAGACGAUCAGAUACCGUCGUAGUCUUAACCGUAAACUAUGCCGACUAGGGAUCGGGCGAUGUUCUUUUUCUGACUCGCUCGGCACCUUACGAGAAAUCAAAGUUUUUGGGUUCUGGGGGGAGUAUGGUCGCAAGGCUGAAACUUAAAGAAAUUGACGGAAGGGCACCACCAGGCGUGGAGCCUGCGGCUUAAUUUGACUCAACACGGGGAAACUCACCAGGUCCAGAUGAAAUAAGGAUUGACAGAUUGAGAGCUCUUUCUUGAUUUUUCAGGUGGUGGUGCAUGGCCGUUCUUAGUUGGUGGAGUGAUUUGUCUGCUUAAUUGCGAUAACGAACGAGACCUUAACCUGCUAAAUAGCCAGGCUAGCUUUGGCUGGUCGCCGGCUUCUUAGAGGGACUAUCGGCUCAAGCCGAUGGAAGUUUGAGGCAAUAACAGGUCUGUGAUGCCCUUAGAUGUUCUGGGCCGCACGCGCGCUACACUGACAGAGCCAACGAGUUAUUCACCUUGGCCGGAAGGUCUGGGUAAUCUUGUUAAACUCUGUCGUGCUGGGGAUAGAGCAUUGCAAUUAUUGCUCUUCAACGAGGAAUGCCUAGUAAGCGCAUGUCAUCAGCAUGCGUUGAUUACGUCCCUGCCCUUUGUACACACCGCCCGUCGCUACUACCGAUUGAAUGGCUCAGUGAGGCCUUCGGACUGGCUCGGAGAGGUUGGCAACGACCACUCCGAGCCGGAAAGUUCGUCAAACUCGGUCAUUUAGAGGAAGUAAAAGUCGUAACAAGGUUUCCGUAGGUGAACCUGCGGAAGGAUCAUUACCUAGAGUUGUAGGCUUUGCCUGCUAUCUCUUACCCAUGUCUUUUGAGUACUUACGUUUCCUCGGCGGGUCCGCCCGCCGAUUGGACAAAUUUAAACCAUUUGCAGUUGCAAUCAGCGUCUGAAAAACUUUAAUAGUUACAACUUUCAACAACGGAUCUCUUGGUUCUGGCAUCGAUGAAGAACGCAGCGAAAUGCGAUAAGUAGUGUGAAUUGCAGAAUUCAGUGAAUCAUCGAAUCUUUGAACGCACAUUGCGCCCCUUGGUAUUCCAUGGGGCAUGCCUGUUCGAGCGUCAUUUGUACCUUCAAGCUUUGCUUGGUGUUGGGUGUUUGUCUCGCCUCUGCGUGUAGACUCGCCUUAAAACAAUUGGCAGCCGGCGUAUUGAUUUCGGAGCGCAGUACAUCUCGCGCUUUGCACUCAUAACGACGACGUCCAAAAGUACAUUUUUACACUCUUGACCUCGGAUCAGGUAGGGAUACCCGCUGAACUUAAGCAUAUCAAUAAGCGGAGGAAAAGAAACCAACAGGGAUUGCCCUAGUAACGGCGAGUGAAGCGGCAACAGCUCAAAUUUGAAAUCUGGCGUCUUUGGCGUCCGAGUUGUAAUUUGCAGAGGGCGCUUUGGCAUUGGCAGCGGUCCAAGUUCCUUGGAACAGGACGUCACAGAGGGUGAGAAUCCCGUACGUGGUCGCUAGCCUUUACCGUGUAAAGCCCCUUCGACGAGUCGAGUUGUUUGGGAAUGCAGCUCUAAAUGGGAGGUAAAUUUCUUCUAAAGCUAAAUACUGGCCAGAGACCGAUAGCGCACAAGUAGAGUGAUCGAAAGAUGAAAAGCACUUUGGAAAGAGAGUUAAAAAGCACGUGAAAUUGUUGAAAGGGAAGCGCUUGCAGCCAGACUUGCCUGUAGUUGCUCAUCCGGGUUUCUACCCGGUGCACUCUUCUAUAGGCAGGCCAGCAUCAGUUUGGGCGGUUGGAUAAAGGUCUCUGUCAUGUACCUCCUUUCGGGGAGAACUUAUAGGGGAGACGACAUGCAACCAGCCCGGACUGAGGUCCGCGCAUCUGCUAGGAUGCUGGCGUAAUGGCUGUAAGCGGCCCGUCUUGAAACACGGACCAAGGAGUCUAACAUCUAUGCGAGUGUUUGGGUGUCAAGCCCGAGCGCGUAAUGAAAGUGAACGGAGGUGGGAACCUUUCGGGGUGCACCAUCGACCGAUCCUGAUGUCUUCGGAUGGAUUUGAGUAAGAGCAUAGCUGUUGGGACCCGAAAGAUGGUGAACUAUGCUUGAAUAGGGUGAAGCCAGAGGAAACUCUGGUGGAGGCUCGCAGCGGUUCUGACGUGCAAAUCGAUCGUCAAAUUU